UACGGAGGGUGCAAGCAUUAAUCGGAUUUAUUGGGCGUAAAGGGCGCGUAGGCGGAGAGACAAGUCAGAUGUGAAAUCCCGGGGCUCAACCUCGGAACUGCAUUUGAAACUGUUUCCCUAGAGGGUAGGCGGAGAAAACGGAAUUCCACAAGUAGCGGUGAAAUGCGUAGAUAUGUGGAAGAACACCGGUGGCGAAGGCGGUUUUCUAGCUUAUUCCUGACGCUAAUGCGCGAAAGCAAGGGGAUCAAACAGG
rnacentral:rRNA from 1 species